GGUUGCGAAGCUCUUACCUGGUUACAGCCUUUUCUCCUCUGACCUCUUACUGGAUCUCUAACGAUCAGACACGGAAGAAGGAAGGAAACUUCUUUGAGUCCUCGUGGAGCCCGAGAGCAGCUCUCUGCUGGAGUGAGGUCCCACUCGUGGCGGGCCACAGCCAGGAAAGGCACGGAAGGGCAUUGUAGCCGCGGGUCUACGGAUGUGAACGUGGUUCUCCAGGGAAGGGGGCGCAGGAGAGGCGGCGCAGGGGUGACAGAUCUCUAGGAGGAAACCGCAAAGCCACGUGGGGGCCACCUGGUGCCUCCACCCUCGCAAGAGUCCCCUUGCAGUGCGUCCCGGGGAGCAAGAGCAAGGCCCCGACCCUCCCGUGGCGGAUGGGGCUGGUCAGCUGCCACGGUUGCCGUAUUCUUGGACCCUGCACUCGCCGCAUUUAUGAAAAGCCUGAAAAGCACCAGGACAUCACAGACGAGACCGCUUCGGGCCCUGGCAUCACUGAGCUCGCACUGGGAGACCAACAGAAACAGGCCAUUUUAAGAUGGAAAGCCUGGAAAGCCCAGCUGUGCGGAGGCCCUCAGGCUCUCUGCUGUGCGAGCCGGGAGUAGCCCAGGUACCAGCGCCCUCACACCGGCCUGAGCUCAGCUUUUCACGCUCCGCAAGCCAGACCCACGGCUGCCAGCGAACACCAGGGAGAGAGAAGUGCAAGGUCACGGACGGGGGUCACGGACGGGGAGUGGACCCAUGUGCCCGGGCAUGGGAGUCCUGUGGCAUGGAGAGUCCCGGCAUCCCAGGAGCUCUGCAGAGCAGGCAGCUGGACUCCCUGUGGCCCGGAGUGACAGGCGCAGCCCGCGGUCACCGUGUAAGAGGAAAAGAGGCCCAGUUUCCUUCCAGCAACACGCGGCCACUACAGGAGACCAGGGAUCCCGAGACACCUUUGCCAACAGCCAGCGGGGCUGCCAGCGCCUGCCGCCAGGUUUCCAGGAGCCACACCACGGCCUCCUGGUGACGCAGAAGGGCUGUUGGCCACAUGCUGAGGAAGCUGGGUCACUUUUUCUAUCCCGGGGUCCAGUCGGGGACCCCUCAUCAUGUUUCCUCGGUCCGAGGUGUGUGACAGUAACUCAGGUUUGCCUUGUUUGCGUGACCUUGACAGUUUUGGUUUCACAGCUCCAUUCCUUGUACUAAAAUUGUCCUUUGGAAGUUUUAGCGCACCGAGCCCAUGUAUGAUAGCUGUUUUUAGUAUCACUGUUUGCUAAUUCUAGCAUCUCUUUUAUUUCUGGGCCCAUAUUACUGGUGGAUCUUUACUCCUGGUGACAGGUGACAUUUUCCUGCCUUUUCUGUGUCUGGUUAAUUUUUCUUGGAUUCCGGAAUUUGUGCUUAUGUGUUACUGGGGCUGGAUUGUGUUGUGUUGGACUUUAUUCUGCCAGCAGCGGAAUCUGUUUCCUCCUUUCAAA
rnacentral:lncRNA from 1 species